rnacentral:rRNA from 1 species
GAUGAACGCUAGCUACAGGCUUAACACAUGCAAGUCGAGCGACCGGAGCACGGGUGAGUGACACGUAUCCAACCUGCCCUUUACUCGGGGAUAGCCGUUCGAAAGAAAGAUUAAUACCCGAUAUAAAGGAUGGGGAUGCGUUCCAUUAGGUUGUUGGUGAGGUAACGGCUCACCAAGCCUUCGAUGGAUAGGGGUUCUGAGUGGAAGGUCCCCCAGAUUGGAUGUGCGACACGGUCCAAACGCCUACGGGAGGCAGCAUUGAGGGAUAUUGGGCAGUGGGCGCUAUCCUGAACCAGCCAAGUAGCGUGAAGAAUGAAGGCUUAUGGGUAGUAAACUUCUUGUAUAUAAGAAUCGGUAUUAGAUGAAUAAGGAUCGGCUAACUACGUGCCAGCCGCCGCGGUAAUUC